ACAGCUUUGAUUUGGUAUAACGGAGGCAUUAUUAAUGUACAUGUAACACCAUCGAGGUCUGCGAAACAUCCAUGAAGUUAAAACAACAAUCUUUCGCGUACAACAUACAAACAGUGCGCGACAGAAACAGUGAUAUUGUGCAUUUAAAAAAACGAUAGUAAACAGUUUUCUCGGUUUUAGGAGCUUUAUGGAAUUAUUUGAGGCAUUUUGAUCUAUCAAAAUGAAAAGAGCACUGUAUAGAAAUGGUGAUGUGACAAGUACGGGCCAAGAUGUUCAAGUUCUGCAAACAUAUAGCAGUGAUGACCACAGCAGAACUCAGAGCAAUGUUGUGAAGUGCUGAUGUGAUUUGUAUUAGACAAGAUAACAUACAGCAGUGGGACAGAGACAGACAUUUUUAACCAUUCAAAAUAAUAGACUCUGAUUUAGUCCAUACUGGUUUAACAAUCACGUGGACUAGAUCUAUAAUAUUACAGACCGAUGUCAACUUCCCAAUUUAUAGAGGGAACACGACUCGAUGCAUGAUAUUGUCAUAGUGAUGAAUUAUAAUACAAAAAUGAUAAAAUAAACUUGCAUCAA